rnacentral:rRNA from 1 species
AACGAACGCUGGCGGCAUGCCUAACACAUGCAAGUCGAACGAGACCUCCGGGUUUAGUUGCGCACGGGUGCGUAACGCGUGGGAACUUGCCCUUAGGUUCGGAAUAACUCCCCGUAAGGGGUGUUAAUACCGGAGAAUGUCUUCGGACCAACGAUUUAUUGCUUUUGGAUGGGCCCGCGUUGGUUUAGCCGGUUGGUAGGGUAAAAGCCUAUCAAGGCGACGAUGCAUAGCUGGUCGGAGAGGAUGAUCAGCCACACUGGGGAUAAGGCACGGCCCAGACUCCUACGGAGGGCAGCAGUGGGGAAUAUUGGACGAUGGGCGCAAGCCUGGUAAAGCAAUGCCGGGUGAGUGGUGAAGGCCUUAGGGUUGUAAAGCUCUUUUACCCGGGAUGAUAAUGACAGUACCGGGAGAAUAAGCACCGGCUAACUACGUG